UCCCGUUGAUCCUGCGGGAGGUUGCUGCUAUCGGGGUUUGAUUUAGCCAUGCAAGUCAAGGGGGUUCUUCGGAACCACCGGCAAAAUGCUCAGUAACACGUUGUUAACCUGACUUUAGGUUCGGAAUAGCCUUGGGAAACUGAGGGUAAUACCGAAUAAGGGAAUUGUUCUGGAAAUGAUUUUUCCUACAAAGCUUCGGUGCCUAAAGAUGGGACAGCGGCGGAUUAGGUAGUUGGCGGGGUAAUGGCCCACCAAGCUUAUGAUCCGUACGGGCCGUGAGAGCGGUAGCCCGGAGAGGGACACUGAGAAACUGGUCCCAGCCCUACGGGGUGCAGCAGGCGCGAAACCUUUACAAUGCACGAAAGUGUGAUAAGGGAACCCCAAGUGCUCAUGUAUAACAUGGGCUUUUGCCAAGUGUAAAAAGCUUGGAGAAUAAGUGGUGGGUAAGACUGGUGCCAGCAGCCGCGGUAACACCAGCGCCACGAGUGGGAACCAGCAUUAUUUGGUCUAAAGCGUCCGUAGCUGGUUUGGUAAAUCUUUUGUGAAAUCAUCGGGCUCAACCUGAUGGCGUGCAGGAGACACUGCCAAACUCGAGACCGGGAGGAGUCAGAGGUAUUUUGGGGGGAGCGGUAAAAUGCUAUAAUCCCCAGAGGACCACCUGUGGCGAAGGCGUCUGACUAGAACGGAUCUGACAGUGAGGGACGAAAGCUAGGGGAGCGAUCCGGAUUAGAUACCCGAGUAGUCCUAGCCGUAAACGCUGCGAGCAAGGCGUUGCAUGUCCCACGAGAAUAUGCAGUGUCGAAACGAAGGUGUUAAGCUCGCCACCUGGGAAGUAUGGUCGCAAGACUGAAACUUAAAGGAAUUGGCGGGGGAGCACUACAAGGGGUGCGGCGUGCGGUUUAAUCUAACUCAACGCAGAGAACCUCACCAGAGGCGACGGCAGGAUGAAAGUCAGUCUGAAGGGCUUACUUGACGAGCCGAGAGGUAGCGCAUGGCCGCCGUCAGCUCGUGCCGUAAGGUGUCCUGUUAAGUCAGGCAACGAGCGAGACCUGUACCCAUAAUUGCUAACGACAAGCUUGCUUGGAUCGUGCACUUUAUGGGAACUGCCCUGGAAACAGGGAGGAAGGUGCAGGCUACGGUAGGUCUGUAUGCUCCGAAUCCUCUGGGCAACACGCGCGCAACAAUGGUAAGGACAAUGGAUGCAACUCCGAAAGAGGAAGCUAAACCUCUAAACCUUAUCCUAGUUUAGAUUGAGGGUUGCAACUCACCCUCAUGACAAUGGAAUCCCUAGUAAUCGGAUGUCAACAUCGUCCGGUGAAUAUGUCCCUGCUCCUUGCACACACCGCCCGUCAAACCACUCGAGCAGGGUUUAGGUGAGCACUAGCUUUUUGGUUAGUUCGAAUCUAAGCUCAGUGAGAUGGGUUAAGUCGUCACAAGGUA
rnacentral:rRNA from 1 species